UUUUGUCACUUAAGUUGUUCAGCGACGUAUGUUCUCUUGUCGUUUUAUGGUUAAGCGACGAAUCUGUUUGGUUUAGCGACGAGCUUGAUUUCGUCGCUUUAUUAAAUGCGACGAAUGGUUCCGUCGCUAUAGCCUUAUGCGACAAAAGACUUUUUUGGUCUGUCAACUUUUGGCGCCUAAUUUUUACUCUUAAGAGACAAAAGUUUCGUCGCUUAGGUUUUAGUUUUUUUGAAAAAAAAAAAAAAUUUAUUAUUACUGAGAGAGAUAUUCUAAUAACUCAAAAAUAUAUUCCUGUAAGUUAUAAAUAAUUAAUUCCUGUAAAACCAAAAUAAAUUAACCGAAAUAUUUAUAUUACUAAUAAUAAUAAUAAAGUUAUCGUACCAACCAAAUAAAUACUAGCUAAUAUUGUUUGUACAAUUAUUUAAACUAAAAAAGUCUACUAAUUUCCUAAACUAAUAUGAGAAGUGUCAAGGCCCCUAUCAUCAUCGUCGUCUCGAGGUUGUUGGCUUGGGACCGAGGGUGAACACAUAGGCUGUUGCCCUAUUCGAGCCAUGAUUUGAUCCAUUUGCAACUUUAACACUUGAUAAUCUGCAACAGACUGCUCAACGAUCUUCUAGGCUUUUUCAGCCUUCUCUUGUGCUUUGUCAGCCCUCUCUUGUGCCUCAGCCGCCUCCUUUCUAGCAGCCACUAUCUCUGUCAUCGCCUCAUUAUUCGGUCAAGAGCAUGAAGAGGAAGAUGUUGACCUUCUGCUCUUCUCUAGGACUCCUGCUCGUCCAAUACCACGAAGGUAAGACCCUUUUGUUUCUCCCAUAGCGUUUUGCACAACACUUAGUUGAGUUGGCCAGUCCAAAGGAGGCAGCUGAUCCGGUGGGAUGUCCGGGUGUUGAGUGCUCUGCAAAGUCUUGGCAAUAGCACCCUGUUCCUUCAACUUUUCCUACAAUUCAAGAAUAAUGCAACUAUUAUAACAUCAUCAAAACAUGAUAACUGAAGCAGUAAUCAGCUUUACCAAAUACACAUCACAUGAAAUAUGCAACAGGCAUCAGCUUUACAAUAUAACAAUCAAACACCAUACUAUGGACACCCAUAGUAUCAUCACACACCACGAAAGCUUCUAAUGAGGCUAGUAAAUCAUCCUUGUAAUUCUGGAACGUAGCAUGGUUCUGUAAUAUCCCACAUCGGCCAAACGGGGAGGGGUUAUGUGCUGUAUAUGUACAUACCCACCUCCAAUCUAACACGAGGCCUUUUGGUGGCUCAGCGGCUUCAGAGGGGAUGGGUACUCCGAGGUUAAGCAUGUUGAUGCUAGAGCAAUCCCAGGAUGGGUGACCUACUGGGAAGCUGCUCCUGAGCUGCCGGAAACAAAACCGUGAGGGCCGGUGGGCCCAAAGCGGACAAUAUCGUGUUACGGCGGAAUGGGUCCUGGGGUGUUACAGGUUCUCUAUACACUAGCAACAUGCUUAUACACACACACACUUAGCUCAACAGAAAACAAGGAAGCAUACUCAAAAUUCUGGGACUUUACCAACUGCAGGGUAAACUUUGAAAAAUCACCGACUUGUCAAUUUACAUUGGAAUAAGCUGAAACUUUCCAGAUCAAUAGUUCUCAUAUAGAAGAACAAGAGUACAAAGUUUCAGACCAAAAUGAGUCUUAAAUCCUGAUCAAAUUCAGACUUAACACAACUCCGCAGCAUAACUCGAAUGCAAUUUCAGCACAAAGCACUUAAUUUUAGAAAAUCACCAUAAUUCAUCUAUCUUAUCAAAUAACACCAAAAUUUGCAGACCAAGAGUAAACAUAAGGAAGAACAAGAGCACAAAAUUUCAAGCCAAACGAAGACCCAAAACCCAAUCAAAUACGAAGCAACUGAACUGCUGAACACAAACACAAUUUCCAGCGCAGUGUACCCAAAUUCAAAAAUUCACCAUGAAUCAUCUACCUUAUCAAACAACACCAAACUUUCCAGAUCAAGGGUAAUCGCAUGGAAGGACAAGGGUACAAAGUUUCAAGCCAAACGGAGUCCUCAAUCCAAAUGAAAUUCGAACUCAAGACAGCUACACCGCAUAACCCCAAAAGUUUCAGCACAAAACACAUAUCAGCAAUUCACUAUAAUUUAACUACACUUAUUACCAAAUGAACAUCACAUGAAAUAUACAACAGACAAAGUGGCAUAGAAACUUUGUUAAGGCAUUAGGUAUUGAUACUUACAUAAUGCUCAGCAGCUUUAGGCUGGUUGAUGUCGUAUGUCACCGGGUACACGUCAACCACCGGUAAUGAAACACCCUUAUCUCUUAACUCGGCCACCCAGUAAAUGAUAGGUUUCCUCCCUGAGUAGUGCUCUAACUCCUUCUUACCACGGUUGCUGGAGUUGGCAACCGAUUGUCUCUGCACAAAUUUUCAAGUCAUUAAGAGUCCUAAAUCCCACUCAAAUCACAAGUACACAGUAGCAAAACUACACAGCAAAUGAAACAAGUAAACAUAAAGCAAAGCAAUGACAUGUAUGCAGGUAGUCUAGAUUACUGGGAGGUACUAAGUUUGACAUGGUAGAGUACAGUUUUAAGACUAUGCAUGUAUGGAGGAAAUGCAGAUAUGAGUUUAACUAAUACUGUUAUAUACAAGGAAAAAAAACAAGUAAACAACAGCAAAACCAACAUUUCCUUGCAAUAAAGAGUAAAGCAAAAAAGCAAAAGUGCAGCAGCCUCAUCAGUCAAGUACCUGCAGAGGGAGAAAAUGAGAAAUGCAAAACGAAAGUUGUACUCCCAGUUUGCAUACACUAGAUAUUGAGCACCAUAGCUGUGCAGAUUGUAUUCUGGAAACAAUAUACAUAAACUCAUCUUUUUCGUUUCUUCUCAAAAAAAAAAAAAUAUAUAUAUAUAUUAUAUACAUAAACUCAUGUGAAUAUUCAUUCUUUUGGUGUCGUACAUGAGCUAAAUGGCAGCAUAACAUCCAACAAA
rnacentral:lncRNA from 1 species